rnacentral:rRNA from 1 species
UACGGAGGGAGCUAGCGUUGUUCGGAAUUACUGGGCGUAAAGCGCACGUAGGCGGCGCGGGAAGUCCGUGGUGAAAGCCCGAGGCUCAACUUCGGGUCGGCCAUGGAUACUCCUGGGCUCGAGCACUGUAGAGGCAGGUGGAAUUCCGGGUGUAGCGGUGGAAUGCGUAGAGAUCCGGAAGAACACCGGUGGCGAAGGCGGCCUGCUGGGCAGUAGCUGACGCUGAGGCGCGACAGCGUGGGGAGCAAACAGG